UACUCCUACGGGAGGCAGCAGUAAGGAAUAUUGGACAAUGGAGGCAACUCUGAUCCAGCCAUGCCGCGUGAUGGAUGAAGGCGCUACGCGUUGUAAACUUCUUUUCUCUUAGAAAAAACUAUUGGUUUCGUACCGAUACUGAUUGUACAAGAGGAAUAAGCAUCGGCUAACUUCGUGCCAGCAGCCGCGGUAAU
rnacentral:rRNA from 1 species